GAUGAACGCUGGCGGCGUGCCUAAUACAUGCAAGUCGAGCGAAUGGAUUAAGAGCUUGCUCUUAUGAAGUUAGCGGCGGACGGGUGAGUAACACGUGGGUAACCUGCCCAUAAGACUGGGAUAACUCCGGGAAACCGGGGCUAAUACCGGAUAACAUUUUGAACCGCCAGGUUCGAAAUUGAAAGGCGGCUUCGGCUGUCACUUAUGGAUGGACCCGCGUCGCAUUAGCUAGUUGGUGAGGUAACGGCUCACCAAGGCAACGAUGCGUAGCCGACCUGAGAGGGUGAUCGGCCACACUGGGACUGAGACACGGCCCAGACUCCUACGGGAGGCAGCAGUAGGGAAUCUUCCGCAAUAGACGAAAGUCUGACGGAGCAACGCCGCGUGAGUGAUGAAGGCUUUCGGGUCGUAAAACUCUGUUGUUAGGGAAGAACAAGUGCUAGUUGAAUAAGCUGGCACCUUGACGGUACCUAACCAGAAAGCCACGGCUAACUACGUGCCAGCCGCCGCGGUAA
rnacentral:rRNA from 1 species